GGUCUAUUAGUCUAGUUGGUUAGGACGUCGGAUUCUGAUUCACAAUUGAAAAUCAGUUCCUUCCGUAAGCCCAGGUUCGAAUCCUGGAUGGACCU